CUGAGACAGAAGAUACCAGACACAAUACUAUUCAGGGGUUGCCUGUGUCUGUACCCCGUUUCAUCUUCACUUCUGGGAACCAGGCUGAUGGAGAAGUCUUCUAGCAGAAGUACUAUGGGUCAUGAUGGCAGAAAGAAGAGCAAACUUGGUGGACCAUGUGCUGGCCCUUGAUGGGUCUACUCAGAUGGGUCACGUAUCUCUGCUCACAAGGUGA
rnacentral:lncRNA from 1 species